rnacentral:rRNA from 1 species
AGUGGCGAACGGGUGAGUAACACGUGAGUAACCUGCCCUUGACUCUGGGAUAACCUCCGGAAACGGAAGCUAAUACCGGAUACGAACUGCGAAGGCAUCUUCAGCAGUUGGAAAGAACUUCGGUCAAGGAUGGACUCGCGGCCUAUCAGGUAGUUGGUGAGGUAAAGGCUCACCAAGCCUACGACGGGUAGCCGGCCUGAGAGGGUGACCGGCCACACUGGGACUGAGACACGGCCCAGACUCCUACGGGAGGCAGCAGUGGGGAAUAUUGCACAAUGGGCGCAAGCCUGAUGCAGCAACGCCGCGUGAGGGAUGACGGCCUUCGGGUUGUAAACCUCUUUUAGUAGGGAAGAAGCGAAAGUGACGGUACCUGCAGAAAAAGCACCGGCUAACUACGUGCCAGCAGCCGCGGUAAUACGUAGGGUGCGAGCGUUGUCCGGAAUUAUUGGGCGUAAAGAGCUCGUAGGCGGUCUGUCGCGUCUGCUGUGAAAACCCGAGGCUCAACCUCGGGCCUGCAGUGGGUACGGGCAGACUAGAGUGCGGUAGGGGAGAAUGGAAUUCCUGGUGUAGCGGUGGAAUGCGCAGAUAUCAGGAGGAACACCGAUGGCGAAGGCAGUUCUCUGGGCCGUAACUGACGCUGA